CCCUACACCAUAAGCUAAGUUGACUCCCUCUACCAUCGCAGCCGCAACAAAAGCAAAGCUAACUCCCCCUAACCCUGCGGUUUCACUAGAAGCAAAGUCAACUCCCCUACCUCGCGGCCGCACCAGAAGCAAAGCCAACUCCCUCUAACCUCGCGGCCGCAGGAGCACAGCAAGUGAAAUAGCUCCCACAUAAUUAUAAAGCCAUUGUAAAAGAUUCUGACUCACCUAUCAACGAGCCCUCCCCUAGAGAACUCCUUGAGGAGCUCCAAAAAGGAAUUUUCUUAGACGAAAUGAAAAAGAAGUAUUGGGUUGAUAAGAAUUCCGAACAACUGUUUUACGGUGUAUGCAAGAGAUCUCUCGAUCACUUGGGGCAGAGACAGUCGUUACUGGCGCUGGAACGUAGAAGACGGGUAUCGAAAACUUCAAUCCGUACAUCACAAUUAGUUAUUGAUUACUGCUAUAGUAAUCGGUCCUAACUUAUGGUUUAAAUGCAGUGGUGACCCCAUUGAUGUUGCUGAACUGUUAGAUGUAUGUAGGCUAGAAGUGUACGGGAAGCUUGAUACCGCAUACCUGUCACCCGGAACUCUUUAUGAAGUUGUAUUUGUGGUCAAGCUGAAUGCUAAAGAAUAUGGAUGGGAAGAACCAGUCGAAUUCACUCUCGAAACCCCUGCUGGUGACAAGCACACACGUAAUGUUGAUCUGAUGCAAAAGCAGAGAGGAACAUGGGUUGAGAUCCCAGCCGGUGAAUUUAGAGCAUCGCCUGAGCAGUAUGGCAACAUGAUUUUUUCGCUCCAUCAACUUGGUGGGCAGUGGAAGAAAGGGCUUGUUAUCAAGGGUGCCGAAAUUCGUCCUAAAACUAAAAAGUAAGUUGCAGAGUACUUGGCAACUUUGCUUAUGAGCAGAGAAAUAACGUCCUAGUUAUUAUUAUUAUUAUUAUUAUUAUUUUAAAGAAGCAAAAUUAAAGGAAUGCAUAUAUAAGAAAUGAUGGGAACAGAAUAAUGAAAGGAAGAUACAGUUUUAAA